GGGGAUGUAGCUCAGUGGUAGAGCACAUACUUAGCAUGUAUGAGAUCCUGGGUUCAAUUCCCAGCAUCUCCA